rnacentral:tRNA from 3 species
UGCUGUAGCUCAGUCGGUAGAGCGCAUCCUUGGUAAGGAUGAGGUCGGCGGUUCAAAUCCGCCCAGC